rnacentral:rRNA from 1 species
AUACGGAGGAUCCGAGCGUUAUCCGGAUUUAUUGGGUUUAAAGGGUGCGCAGGCGGCCAUUUAAGUCAGCGGUUAAAUCGUGGGGCUCAACCCCAUUCUGCCGUUGAUACUGGGUGGCUUGAUUGCGGUCGAGGUUGGCGGAAUUCGUUGUGUAGCGGUGAAAUGCAUAGAUAUGACGAAGAACACCGAUUGCGUAGGCAGCUGACCAGACCGCAAAUGACGCUCAUGCACGAAAGUGCGGGGAUCGAACAGGAUUAGAUACCCUGGUAGUCCGCACAGUAAACGAUGAAUACUUGUUUUCGGCGAUAUAAUGUCGGAGGCAAAGCGAAAGCGAUAAGUAUUCCACCUGGGGAGUACGCCGGCAACGGUGAUACUCAAAUGAAUUGACGGGG